AACCCUAGGGGGCCCACAUCAUCCUAACCGCACAUUUCUUAAUCCAAGGGCUAAAAAACUAAUAGCACCAAUAACUUGGUGCUAUUGAUAGUAUUCCAGCCUAGUUCUAUAUAUAUAUAGGCUAGGGCUACUAUACUCAUAUGAGUAUAGAGCACUUUGUACUCAUAAGUUUUCGGUCGUUCGGAUGAAAAAAUGUGCGGUUAGGAUGAGAGUGGUUACGGUUAGGUUGAUAGUGGGCCCCCUAGGGUUGAGUUGGUAGUUGGUUGAAUAGUAUAAUCUAAUGGAUAAAAAUGAUUAAAAGGUAGAUCUAACGGUCAAAAACUUAUGAGUACAAGAAGCUCUAUACUCAUAAGAGUAUAGUAGCCAGACUCUAUAUAUAUAUGUGUGUGUGUGUGUGUGUGUGUGUGUGUGUGUGUGUGUGUGUGUGGAGCUACUAUGCUCUACUAUGCUAUUGUAAAUAUAAAGUAGUUGGUGCUUCCAAUUUUUUAGUCCUUUGAUCAAAAAUUCCUUUGAUCAAAAAUUCUACAGUUGGGAUGAUUGCGGUCCCCUUAGGGUUGAGUGGUCCCCCUAGGAUUGAGUGGUCCCAAUUGGUUAAUAAUAUUAAUCCAAUGUUUAGAAAUGAUCGAUGGGUUGAUCUAAGGGCUAAAAAAUCGGAAGCACCAACUACUUUGUGCUUCCGAUAGUAUAGUAGCUCUACUCUAUUGGCGUGUUUGGUUCAUAAUUGGAAUAGGAAUGGGAAAUAGAAUUGGAUUGCUUUGAAAUGGGAAAGGGAAUGACGAAUCAUUCAAAAAUAUUUUGUUCAUUAUUGGAAUAGAAAUCGGAAUGAAAAUUUAAAAUUUUUAAGAGAGGGUUUUAAUUAAGAAAGAGGAAAGUGAUGAAGGAAGAGAAGGUAAGUGUUGGUGAAAGAGGAUUUUGAAUAGUUUAUUUUGAAAUGAGCCAAUCCGGAAUUCAAAGCCAGAUUAGAUCAUAAAUAGAUUUGGUCAUUCCCAUUCCGGAGUGGAAUCGGAAUCGAAAUCUAAUUCCUAUAAAACAAACGACAACUAUCGGAAUCAAUAAAUUCCAUUCUGAUUCCGAUUCCAUAGUUUAAAAUAGGUGAGCCAAACAUGACAUGCCCUAUAUAUAUAUAUAUAGGCUACUAUACUAUCUAUAGUACCGGAGCUCCGGUACUAUAGUCUUGUUUUCGAUCUUAAGGUGUUUAAAUUAACGAUCCACACCGUUAAAUAUGAUCUAGGGUAUAUGAAGUUCUUAGGAAUAAAAUUUUAGUUUUUUUCGAUAUCGUUUACUCAGUAAAUAAAUUAUGUCAAAAUGGACUGUGGAAAUAGAACAAUCUUUAAACUUUAAGCAUAGGACUUUUAAAUUCAAGAUCAAGAAUGUUAACUUUAAUCUAGAUAGUUUAAAGUAUUUUCUAUCAAAAUUUGAAGAAAUUUAGAUUCUUCUACAUCGUUAAACUCCAAACUCGCUAUAGUAGCCAUUAAAAAUUGACAAGUUUGAAAUGGUUUGAUCAUAAAGUAAAUUAUGUCGAAAAAAUAUAAAAUUUUAUUUCUAAAUACUUUAAAUACCCUAAAUCAGUUUUAACGGUGUGGAUCAUUGAUUUGAACACCCUAAGAUCGAAAAUAGGACUAUAAUACCGGAGCCCCGGUACUAUAGAAAGUAUAGGAGACUAACUCUAUAUAUAUAUAUAAGUUGAGCUAGAAUACUAUCGAUAACAAAUGGGCUACAUUGCCACCCAUUUGUUUUCGAUGAUAGAGCCUCCAAAUCGACGAUCGGCACCGUUAAACAAGAUCUAUGCCACUUGAAGUGUUUAGAAAUCAAAUUUCAAAUCUUUUCGACAUCAUUUGCCUAAUGUUAAAGAGUUUCAAAAUUUGUAAUUUUAAUGGUCGAUAUGAGGCUUUUUCUCGUUUAACAGUGUAAAGAUAUUCAAAUCAAUUGAAUUUUUGUUAGAAAAUUCUUUAAACUAUUUAAAACAAGAUCUAUACUCUUGAUCUUGACUACAAGACUCCUAUCAUCAUUUUUUAAAGAAUAUUCAUUUUCAGCCAUUCAUUUUUGUGUCCACUCGAUGGAUAAGAGAGUAAUAUCAAAAAUGAAUGAAAUUUGAUUUCUAAACACUUCAAGUGGUAUAGAUCAUGUUCAA
rnacentral:lncRNA from 1 species